rnacentral:rRNA from 1 species
UAGGGAAUCUUCGGCAAUGGACGAAAGUCUGACCGAGCAACGCCGCGUGAGUGAAGAAGGUUUUCGGAUCGUAAAACUCUGUUGUUAGAGAAGAACAAGGACGUUAGUAACUGAACGUCCCCUGACGGUAUCUAACCAGAAAGCCACGGCUAACUACGUGCCAGCAGCCGCGGUAAUACGUAGGUGGCAAGCGUUGUCCGGAUUUAUUGGGCGUAAAGCGAGCGCAGGCGGUUUCUUAAGUCUGAUGUGAAAGCCCCCGGCUCAACCGGGGAGGGUCAUUGGAAACUGGGAGGCUGGAGUGCAGAAGAGGAGAGUGGAAUUCCAUGUGUAGCGGUGAAAUGCGUAGAUAUAUGGAGGAAAACCAGUGGCGAAGGCGGCUCUCUGGUCUGUAACUGACGCUGAGGCUCGAAAGCGUGGGGAGCAAACAGG